rnacentral:lncRNA from 1 species
UUCCCCUAUUCCUGGCUUUUAAGGGCAGGGGCAGAGUUGUCUCAGCCCCUAGGCCACUGGCCCGUCCUGCUGCUCUGCUCCGGGGGAGGAGAUGCUGGAGAAGCUGGCGGUAAGGAUUUUUCUCCCCUCUCUGCUAGGCAGCGGGAGGCUCUGGGGCCAUUCCCAGGACGGCAGCCCUCGCCUUGCCCAGCUCUGCGUGUUGGGGCUGCCUCGGCGGGGAGCGUGCCUGCCUCUUUGAAAACCCACAAGCGUUGCCUCAGCUUGCAGGCAGCCGGCGGCCGGGAGCCUCCCGGGGCUGUGCCUGCGCAGGCUGGGACAGGAUCCCCGCUUGCAGUGGCCAGAUGAGGUGUGGGCAGGAGGGAUGACCUCCCCCUUGCUGGGAUUCCUGGAGCUGGGCUGCAUCGGCCUCAGAUAUCCACCAGCUCCGUGGGUCAGUGAGCUCAGGAGGGAAUUGGGACCCCCCAUUCCCUGCAGGUUGCUUGGAUGAGGACAGGCGCAGCUUGGCUUUGGCUGGUGGCACCCGCUGCCCGCGCUGUCCCAAGGCAGGGCUGGUGCUGAGCUGUGGGCCGGGGCUGGACAGAGUCCUGGCCUCUCCUCCUUACCCCAAAAAAUGUCGAGGAGAGCCUCGCCUGUGGCUGGGAGAGGUGGCUGUGUGUCCGUGCGGAGCUCUCCUGAUGGCACGGACAGGGAGACACGUCCCAGACGCACCCCGAUCCUCCUGGAGGGCAGGGGAAGGGCCACGGCGAUGGUAACCAGGCACCCUGUUUGUUUGGGUGCAGUGCCCAUACGGGAUGGGAAAAGGAUGUGAGCUGACACAGGGAUUAGGGAGUAUCUGCUCACCGUUUCCCACACCAAAUACACCCUUCCAGUUAACAACAGCUCUCGAUGACUUCUUACACCUUGGAUACAGAACACACAGAAACAGGAUUACGGUCACGGGGCGGGGACUGGAAAGUAAAACUCGGCAGCGAGCACUCGGCCCAGGCAGGGGUGCAGAGCCCAUCGAGGAGGCUGCUGCAGGGAAAGGACCAUCUAUGCAGCUCGGCCAGGCAGGGCCAGCUCCUCCAAGUCCUGCUGGAGAAGAAUAAUGUCUUCUCUCCACCCAAGUCUCCCAUGUUCUUGGUGCUUGCUCUCCAGCACAUCGGUGCACCCAGAGGAGCAGCUGAGCUCGAGGAGAGGCUGAAGGCUGGCUGCCAACAGGGGAUGCUGAGCGCAGAGUCCUGGGGAGCGGGGCUGCUGCUCCUGGUGGCUCGGGGCUCGGCAGACCGAGGAAGGGAAGGAGCCCACGUGGGGCACGAGCAGAUUCGCUGCGUCCAAAUCCCCGUCAGCCAGCUCCUGCAACCUGCAGCCGUUCGGUGCAGGCGUGGAGAUCUGCUACGAAACACCGCGGCCCUCGUGGCAGCCUGCGAGUCGGGAGGGCUGGGCUCCGCCUCACCAAAAUCACCUCCCGUCUGCCAGGAACGGCAAGGAAAAUUUAUGAAACGGACGUGA